GUCGGUGCGCAUUAGAUUGUCCAAACCAGUUUCUUCAAAACAUGUUCAUAGCUCUCGAUACAAACCUGCAGAUGCUCUGGUUUAUCUGCGACUCUGGAACUGAGAUGGGCGCACGAAUCGUGGGUUGGAGCACCUAGUGCCGUCUACGAACGAAGCUAGAUCUGACGGACGAAGCUCAGGCAAGAAUCAAGCACUUCGGUCCUUCCGGUCGAGAGGCAGGGGAGAACAGAGCAAUCAAACGCGAGGUUCGGGAAGACUGGGGACGAAGGUGAUGAGGGCUUCGAGGGGUCGCGGCGGUAGCUAGUAGACACCAGGGACUCGCCGAUGACACGAAAGCUGCUAGUUUUCGCCGGAAAUGCGGGUGGGGCGCUCAUGUAUAGCCGCUGGGUGCGGUUCUGGGACGGCUGCAGGUCUGGGCUCGAUGGAGGAGUUGCCGAGACGCCGGGACUUGCUGAGGACGUUACCGGGAACUAGUCAUGGACGCUGGAAUCACCGGAAAACAGCGGAGGUCACGGUCUGGUAGCGAUGGGCCUGGGAUGGUCGCGUGUGAAUAUCUUCCACCCCCACGCCCUGCCAGACCAAAUCCUCUUUAUCCUCUGAUUUUCUCCCUUCCUCACGCCACGCCCACGUCUUCUGAUCUUCUUAUUCCUCGGCUUCUUCCAUGUCCUGUGCGUGGACUGUGCUUGUUUCCUUCUUUCUAUUUUUUUUUUCUCUUCAUUUCUUCUUG
rnacentral:lncRNA from 1 species